GACAGCGAACAAGGUUAUCGCAGUUUGUCAUUGUUUUGUUUUUAUGAUCAUUCGAUUCCACGGAUUCCACGCACGAUUUAAGAAAAUUUAAAUUUUGAGUUGCGAUAGCAGCAGCAGAUAGCUGCAAGAGUGAACAUUCUGUUGGCCUCCUCGAGGUAAAGAAUCACGCCAUGACCGUUUCCGCAAAAUGUUUGGUGCAAAGGUAGCACUGGCGCACUUUCAUCACCAUGUUGUGGUCACACCUUGAAUUAAAUCGGCUGUUGCUGAAAUAUCAUGUUUUUCGCUCAGAGGCAUCCGCAUUCCAGCAUCAGGAAGAAUCGCAGUACUGACUUCAGCGCAGAGAAAACGGCAAACAGGUGUUUGGUUGCUCACAACGGCC